UACCUUUGCAGAGGUCGCAAAGUGGAACUUCUUCCAAUCCAGGUGCCUUCCAUGUUGCAUAACUGCAUGAUACGAAAAGGGAUCUGUGAGAAAAUGGACGUAUUUGCCAGCCAGUUGACAAGUGAAAAUUGGACCGUAUUUCUUUUCUCUUGCCCUGAGGAAUUGGAAUGGAUUGGUUCCAAACUGCAAAGCACAUCCAAGGUCUGAUAUGUGGCAGCCAGAAGCUAUUGUCCAUGAGCAUGCAAAUAUAUAAAUAAUAGUUUGGGACUACAAGGAAAUAAAAAAUUCUUGUGUCAUUGUGGUUGUGCUUAUGUAUUGUUGUCUGCGUGUGGCACUCAGAGUGCUUCUGUGAGACAUCCUGAGUUCCUUUGGGGAGAUGGUGGUGGAGUACAAAUAUUUAUAUUAUUAUUAUUAUUAUUAUUAUUAUUAUUAUUAUUAUUAUUAUUAUUAUUAUUAUUUGAAACACAACAAUGGGGCAUUGUCUGGUAUCCUAGGCCCAAGCAAACCAAAAACAGGCAUCCUUAGCACCUGCAUUUAGCAGUAUUUUUAUACCACCAGCCCAAAGGACAACAGAAGCUUAUGCUUCACAAGAAAGAAAAUUGGGACAGUUUAUAACCAUCACUUUGUACCAGAGAAAGAAGACUCCAGUGAGAUGACUGCAGCCAGCGAAGAAUCCUUUUAAAACUGAUAGUGGGAGAAGAAGACAACCUACCCCGACAUAGCUGUUAUGCCAUAACAGAAAUGCUUGGGAUCAUUGCACCAAGUAUGUUGCAGCACCUUGGUGUGAUCAAGGGCUAUUGAAAGGUUUUGCCCUUCAAUAGCGGGGAUGGCUUCCUUGCAGGAAGGUGCAACUGAUAUUGCAUGGUCAUCUUCCUCAGAUUGUUACGUUCAAUUCAAUUCAAUAAAUAAAUAAAACGUAU